GGAAUAUUGGGCAAUGGGCGCAAGCCUGACCCAGCAACGCCGCGUGAAUGAAGCAGGUUUUCGGAUCGUAAACUUCUGUCCUAUGUGAAGAUAGUGACGGUAGCAUAGGAGGAAGCCCCGUCUAACUACGUGCCAGCAGCCGCGGUAAUACGUAGGGGGCGAGCGUUGUCCGGAAUGAUUGGGCGUAAAGGGCGCGUAGGCGGCCUGUUAAGUCUGGAGUGAAAGUCCUGUUUUCAAGAUGGGAAUUGCUUUGGAUACUGUCGGGCUUGAGUGCAGGAGAGGUAAGUGGAAUUCCCAGUGUAGCGGUGAAAUGCGUAGAGAUUGGGAGGAACACCAGUGGCGAAGGCGACUUACUGGACUGUAACUGACGCUGAGGCGCGAAAGUGUGGGGAGCAAACA
rnacentral:rRNA from 1 species